CAUCCAUGUAGUGCCCAGCGGUGCAGGAGGAGGUCUGUGGCCAGUCACCGCCAUCGUCUGUCAGAAGCCAGAGCUGUUUUACUUUCCAGUUUUCAGCGCUAUACAGGUUCCUACAAUAUAGGAUCGGCUCAGUGGAGAUCUUCUAUAUAAGAUCCUUCUCCUCAUUGACCGGUCAAGGAUGGAUAGGGACAGGGAGAAGAUGGCAGAGAGUAUAAUAAAUCUCACCCUAGAGAUCCUCUUCCGGCUUACUGGAGAGGACUACACAGUAGUGAAGAAGACCUCUAGUGAGCGCUGUCAGGCCCCUGUGUCUGAAGAUUGGGGAAGAAGCCUGAGCCCAAUCACAGGGCCUCCACCUCACCCCCUGAUACAUGAGGAAAUCAAUAGAGAGAAGAUCCUAGAGCUCACCAACAAGAUGAUUGAGCUGCUGACUGGAGAGGUUCCUAUAAGAUGUCAGGAUGUCACCAUUUAUUUCUC